AGUACGGCCGCAAGGUUAAAACUCAAAGGAAUUGACGGGGACCCGCACAAGCGGUGGAGCAUGUGGUUUAAUUCGAUGCAACGCGAAGAACCUUACCUGGUCUUGACAUCCUGCGAACUUUCUAGAAAUAGAUUGGUGCCUUCGGGAACGCAGUGACAGGUGCUGCAUGGCUGUCGUCAGCUCGUGUCGUGAGAUGUUGGGUUAAGUCCCGUAACGAGCGCAACCCCUAUCCUUAUUUGCCAGCACAUCAUGGUGGGAACUAUAAGGAGACUGCCGGUGAUAAACCGGAGGAAGGCGGGGACGACGUCAAGUCAUCAUGGCCCUUACGACCAGGGCUACACACGUGCUACAAUGGGAAGGACAAAGAGCCGCGAAGCCGCGAGGUGUAGCUAAUCUCAUAAACCUUUUCGUAGUCCGGAUUGGAGUCUGCAACUCGACUCCAUGAAGUCGGAAUCGCUAGUAAUCGUAGAUCAGAAUGCUACGGUGAAUACGUUCCCGGGUCUUGUACACACCGCCCGUCAUACCAUGGGAGUUGGUUCUACCCGACGACGCUGCGCUAACCCUUACGGGAGGCAGGCGGCCACGGUAGGAUCAGCGACUGGGGUGAAGUCGUAACAAGGUAACC
rnacentral:rRNA from 1 species